CUUUCUGUAGUGUAGUGGUUAUCACAUUUGCCUGAUACGCAGAAGGUCCCUGGUUUGAAACCAGGCAUAAAUG
rnacentral:tRNA from 1 species